rnacentral:rRNA from 1 species
CCGCCCGUCACACCAUGGGAGUUGAUUGCACCAGAAGCAGGUAGCCUAACCGCAAGGGGGCGCCUACCACGGUGUGUUCAAUGACUGGGGUG